GACAGAGGGUGCAAACGUUGUUCGGAAUUACUGGGCGUAAAGCGUGUGUAGGCGGUCAAGUAAGUCGGAUGUGAAAGCCCCGGGCUCAACCCGGGAAGUGCACUCGAAACUGCAUGACUUGAGUAUCGGAGAGGUUGGUGGAAUUCUCGGUGUAGAGGUGAAAUUCGUAGAUAUCGAGAGGAACACCGGUGGCGAAGGCGGCCAACUGGACGAAUACUGACGCUGAGACACGAAAGCGUGGGGGAGCAAACAGG
rnacentral:rRNA from 1 species